GCCGGAGUGGCGGAACUGGUAGACGCGACGGAUUCAAAAUCCGUUUGGGGAAACUCAGUGGGGGUUCGAGUCCCUUCUCCGGUACCA
rnacentral:tRNA from 1 species